rnacentral:rRNA from 1 species
AACGUACGCUGGCGGCACGCCUAAUACAUGCAAGUCGAACGAACCUUCGGGUUAGUGGCGGACGGGUGAGUAACGCGUGAGAAUCUGCCCUCAGGAGGGGGAUAACGGUUGGAAACGGCCGCUAAUACCCCAUAUGCCGCGAGGUGAAAUGAAUUUCGCCUGAGGAUGAGCUCGCGUCUGAUUAGCUAGUUGGUGUAGGUAAUGGCUCACCAAGGCAUCGAUCAGUAGCUGGUCUGAGAGGAUGAUCAGCCACACUGGGACUGAGACACGGCCCAGACUCCUACGGGAGGCAGCAGUGGGGAAUUUUCCGCAAUGGGCGAAAGCCUGACGGAGCAACGCCGCGUGAGGGAUGAAGGCCUCUGGGCUGUAAACCUCUUUUAUCAAGGAAGAAGAUCUGACGGUACUUGAUGAAUAAGCCACGGCUAAUUCCGUG